AUGGCCCAGAGCAGGACCACCGCCGUCGCGCUGCUCCUGAUCGCCGUCCUGGUGGCGGCCGCGUCGGUGCCGGCGGCGACCGCCUUCGGCUGCUACGACGACUGCUACGAGCGCUGCGCCAACGGCGCCAAGGAGGACCCAGCCUGCACCAAAAUGUGCGGCGAGGCAUGCGGCGUCGCCGGCAAAGCCGCGGGCGCCGCAGGCGGCGCGCCCACCUCUUAA
rnacentral:rRNA from 1 species